ensembl:lncRNA
GGAUUUGGGUGCUUUGGGGUCACCUGGGGGGGGUUUGGGAUGGUUUUGGGGUAAAUUCGAGACAUUCCAGGUGGGGAACCGGCCGGGGAUGGAUUUUGGGGAUAUUUUGGGACAUUUUGGGAUAAUUUUGGGACGGUUUGGGGUGCUCCAGGUGGGGAAUUGGCUGGGGAUGGAUUUGGGGAUUAUUUUGGGAUAAUUUGAGAUAAUUUUGGGGUGUUCCAGGUGGGGAACCAUCUGGGGAUGGAUUUUGGGAUAAUUUUGGGAUAAUUUUGGGGUACUCCACAUGGGGAACCAUCUGGGGAUAGAUUUUGGGAUAAUUUUGGGAUAUUUUGGGAUAAUUUUGGGACAUUUUUGGGUGCUCCAGGUGGGGAACCGGCUGGUGAUGGAUUUGGGGAUAUUUUGGGACAUUUUGGGGACAUUUUGGGGUGCUCCAGGUGGGGAACCGUCUGGGGAUGGAUUUGGGGAUAUUUUGGGGACAUUUUGGGAUAUUUUUGGGACAUUUUGGGACAUUUUGGGGAUAUUUUGGGACAUUUUGGGCCAUUUUGGGCCAUUUUGGGGUGUUUUAGGUGGGGAACCGUCUGGGGAUGGAUUUGGGGAUAUAUUGGGGAUAUUUUGGGAUAUUUUUGGGACAUUUUGGGACAUUUUGGGGAUAUUUUGGGACAUUUUGGGCCAUUUUGGGGUGCUCCAGGUGGGGAACCGUCUGGGGAUGGAUUUGGGGAUAUUUUGGGACAUUUUGGGGACAUUUUGGGGUGCUCCAGGUGGGGAACCGGCUGGGCGUGCGCCGCGGCGCCGACGACUCGAUGCACCUGGUGGUGGACGGGCAGGACAUGGGGCCAGCAGCCACCGGCGUGGCCAAGGUAUGCCCGGGGCACCUGAGAUACACCUGAGAUACACCUGAGAUACACCUGGGAUACACCUGGGAUACACCUGGGGGCACCUGAGAUACACCUGAGAUACACCUGAGAUACACCUGAGAUACACCUGGGGGCACCUGGGUUACACCUGAAACACCUGGGAUACACCUGGGAUACACCUGGGGGCACCUGGGAUACACCUGGGGGCACCUGAGAUACACCUGGGAUACACCUGGGGGCACCUGGGGGCACCUGGGGGCACCUGGGAUACACCUGGGGACACCUGGGGACACCUGGGGGCACCUGGGAUACACCUGAGAUACACCUGGGGGCACCUGGGAUACACCUGAGAUACACCUGGGGGUACCUGGGAUACACCUGAGAUACACCUGGGAUACACCUGGGGGUACCUGGGGCACACCUGGGCACACCUGGGGGCACCUGAGAUACACCUGGGGGUACCUGGGGGCACCUGAGAUACACCUGAGAUACACCUGGGAUACACCUGGGAUACACCUGGGAUACACCUGAGAUACACCUGGGGGUACCUGAGAUACACCUGAGAUACACCUGGGGGCACCUGGGAUACACCUGGGGGCACCUGGGGGCACCUGAGAUACACCUGAGAUACACCUGGGGACACCUGAGAUACACCUGAGAUACACCUGAGAUACACCUGGGAUACACCUGGGAUACACCUGGGAUACACCUGGGAUACACCUGGGGGCACCUGGGGACACCUGGGAUACACCUGGGAUACACCUGGGGGUACCUGAGAUACACCUGGGGGCACCUGAGAUACACCUGAGAUACACCUGGGCACACCUGGGAUACACCUGGGGGUACCUGGGGCACACCUGGGCACACCUGGGAUACACCUGGGGGCACCUGAGAUACACCUGGGGGCACCUGAGAUACACCUGAGAUACACCUGGGGACACCUGAGAUACACCUGAGAUACACCUGGGGGUACCUGAGGAACACCUGGAGGGUGCCUGGGGGCACCUGAGAUACACCUGAGAUACACCUGAGAUACACCUGGGG